rnacentral:rRNA from 1 species
AGAUGGCGACCGGCGCACGGGUGAGUAACACGUAUCCAACCUGCCGCUUACUCGGGGAUAGCCUUUCGAAAGAAAGAUUAAUACCCGAUGGUAUAAAGAGUUCGCAUGUUCUCUUUAUUAAAGAAUUUCGGUAAGCGAUGGGGAUGCGUUCCAUUAGAUAGUUGGCGGGGUAACGGCCCACCAAGUCUACGAUGGAUAGGGGGUUCUGAGAGGAAGGUCCCCCCACAUUGGAACUGAGACACGGUCCAAACUCCUACGGGGAGGCAGCAGUGAGGAAUAUUGGUCAAUGGACGAGAGUCUGAACCAGCCAAGUAAGCGUGAAGGAUGACUGCCCUAUGGGUUGUAAACUUCUUUUAUAAGGGAAUAAAGUGAGGGACGUGUCCCUUUUUGUAUGUACCUUAUGAAUAAGGAUCGGCUAACUCCGUGCCAGCCGCAGC